UGCAGCUAGCUUGCCGAUUGUCACUGACAAUGAGAUCGAAGCUGAACGGAGAUGGAUUCCUGUCAUUUAAGGCUAGUAUUAAACCAGAAUUAGAUAAUAUGAUCCUGUGACUGAAAGAUUAUCUGCAAAAUGGCAUACAGUCACAGGCCAAUCUAUGGCCGAUCUUCUUCUGAUGCAGCGCUGAACUUCUCCAUCACGGAAUCUCAGAAUGGACCCGGCUUCAACAGCAGGAGUAACGGGAGCGUCCCGGCUGCUAUGCGGGCAGCCUACGCCGAGGCAAGUAGAGAGCCCGGGUCGAGGAUCAGCCGGAGCGGAGAGGAGUAUCUUUAUCAGAAUGGGUCAUCGAGAUUUGAGCAUCAGCAUCAAUAUCGUGAGGAUUAUACAUUACCAAGGAAUACAACAAGACAUCAAGCUAGAGGCCAGAUCAGUAGGGAAUCAAACCUUGAUGAAGAACUGUGGAAACGGAAAACUGCCAGUUUGCCACGAUCAAAAGGAAAGCAGCAGAGGGGUACAUUUCAUUCACCGAGCGAUAAGGGAGAUGGAUAUUCAUCAAGACCAGCUUACAAUCGUCAAAACAGUGCAGGAGAUAGCCUUCAUUAUAGUCAUAAAUCUAGGGAAGAUAUCUACUUGUGCCAGAAUCAAAGAACUGACGCUCAUCAUUCUGUUGUUAGAGCAUCAAGUUUUCAGUUCGGAUCUGAUAUUGAUUAUGCUUAUCGUGCAAACAUGAAUGUCCAACGUUCACAAACUAAUGCAUCGAAUUUGAAGUCAAGGACAUUGCAGACAGAAAGUAGAGGCGUGCCAGUGCACCGUAGUAAUAGUCCUGUGGAUGAUGAGAGGUUUCGCGGCUAUAGUGUGGGUUCGAGGGGAUCGAGUCCUCGUCCAAACAUCAGACGCGCAAACUCCCAUGGCAGCACGCAUAAGUUGGGCGUAGGUAAUGAUGCUGGGGAUCAGAGCCAGAAUACCUCUUUCUCCUCAUCAGUUGGAAGUCCUGGUAAAAAGAAACUGUCCCGAAAGCCUUCUUUUAAAGCAUUUGGUUCGCUCAUCCAAAAGAUGGUGCGGCAGAUUGGGAGUAUGGAAGAAGGAAAAGGGUCCAACAUUCAAGAUGUAUCGUCAGGAAGCAGCAUCGUGAAUGGGAACACUGAUGGCCAUCAUCCUACUUCCCCACCUUGCAGCCCGGUCCUUCUCCAUGGACGUGUCCCGGGGCUGUCUGGUCUCCGUAACCAUGGCAACACUUGUUUCAUGAAUGCCAUUGUCCAAUGUCUGAGCAAUACGGAUGUUCUGGCAGAAUACUUUGUGUUGGAGCAAUAUAGAGGGGAUCUCUCACAUUCCAAGAAACUAAGCAAAAAGUUUGGAACCAAAGGAGAAGUGACAGAGCAGUUGGCCGUUCUCCUGAAAGCUAUCUGGAGUUGCAAAUAUUCACCUCAUCAUACUACGGAAUUCAAGCGAAUAGUGGCACGACAUGGCAGUCAGUACAGAGGAAAUGACCAGCAUGAUGCACAAGAAUUUCUUAUUUGGCUUCUUGACAAAGUCCAUGAAGACCUCAACAGUGCAAAGAAGAAAUACAAACAACUAAAGAAUGGACAGAACAAAAGUGACGAGCUGAUGGCAGCGGAAUCCCUUGCCAACCACAUGAGGCGCAAUAACAGCUUCGUCCAGGAUCUCUUCCAGGCGCAGUAUCGGUCCUCCCUGACCUGCCCUCACUGCGGCAGGCAGAGCAAUACCUUUGACCCCUUUCUCUGUGUGUCACUGCCCAUUCCGCAGAGGACAACCAGAGUGGUCAUCAUAGUAGUCAUCUAUGCUGAUAGGGAUCCCAGGGUGGUCAGGUUCGGCAUUGUCCUGGAGACCUCCGGGAGUGUAGCCGAUCUGAGGUCCAACAUUGCUAGUACCUGCAGUAUAGCGGUCACAAGGAUCGUUUUGACCGAGGUAUAUUUUGAUGGUUUCUACCGAUCGUUUGGCGAUUCGCAACCUCUGAGUGACAUCCACGACGGGGACAGUAUCUACGCCGUAGAAACCCCGCACAAUCCACACAGCAUGCUCCAGAAUAGUCAGGUCAAACCCUACCUCCAUGUCCAUUGCAAUCGACCUGUAGAGGUCAUCACCAUGGUGAUCAUCAACCAACAAGGCACGGGAAGAACAGGAAAGAGGUUUGGUCAGCCAAUGGCAAUUGAAGUGGACAGGAAUGUUUCUCAUGAGCAACUCACACUCAUCAUUCUCAAAGCUAUGGGCUGUUCAUCAAACAGUGCAGACAGAAUUAUGCAAUCAGGGCCUGUGCUACAGCUGGGUAUAGUGAUAGAUGCCAAGGGUAGCAGGCAUUACAUUCCAGCUGAAGAGGCCAGACCUAUGCACAAUGCAUCAAUAACCAGAAUGUUACAAGGAACCGGCGAAGAAGGAGGACCCCCUCAUGUGAAAGCGAUUGUAGAAUGGGAGCGAGAUCUCAGAUCCAUGUUUUGUCCUAGAGCGAUGAGUAUCUUCAUUGAGGAACAUGAGAGCGUUCAGAGGGAGAGAACAUCUCAUCAGCAGCCGGUCAGGGCAUCACUCUUUGAUUGUAUCGACCUCUAUACACAGGAAGAAAAACUUGGUGAGGAUAAUGCCUGGCACUGCCCUCAUUGUAAACGCCUUCAACAAGGAACAAAGAAACUCACUCUAUGGUCUUUACCGGAGGUUCUCAUCCUUCAUCUCAAGAGAUUCAAACAGGUUGGAGCAGCAAGAACCAAACUAUCAACUCAGGUGGAUUUUCCUAUUCAUAAUCUGAACAUGGGUCAGUAUAUAGAACAUAGGAGAAUGUCUCAGGGUCUACCAACCAAUGGCAACUCACAGGCAGCACUUCUGAACUCAUUGACAGCUUGGUCACCAUGGAAACAGCCAGGAGGUCGACGGAGGUCAUCUACAUUGAUUGGUGAUAAUGUAUAUGAUCUCUAUGCAGUGUGCAACCACUCUGGCAGUUUAACUGGUGGACAUUACACAGCAUACUGCAAGAACUCCCUGGAUGGCCAGUGGUACCAUUUUGACGACGCCAAGGUGGUGCCUGUACCGGAAGAACGCUUGGUAAACAAGGGGGCAUACCUGCUCUUCUACCACCGGCGCACCCAGACCACCGGUAGUACCAGCACAGAUUGCUCCAUGUCGUCCACCAGCUCGGAUCAUUGGGUUUACAAGUUACCAGCGUACGCCAGACAGUGUAGUAAUACGUCGUCAGGACAGGACAGUGUCUUCUCAUCCGGUGCUUCAUCCCACGAUGGGAGCUCACCUAUGACAGAGACCCCACCCUCAAGCGCAUGGGGAUCUGGCCCUCCACCCCACCCUGCCCCCACUGGCCAAUCAGGCAGGGCUGGCAGGGUAGACCCUCAGAGGGUUGACCUACCGGAGUGGUAUAACCACAAUGGAGUGGAUGCUGUGGACAGUGUCAGUACUAGGGCAAAGAACAGUGGCAGGUUGACCCCAGGUCAAAGGUCGUGGCAUGGGUCAAGAGACCUCUUAGAAGAUGAUGAGAGUGCAGGCUUUUCAACAAACUCCAGACCAUUUGUUCGAGGAGUUGCAGGGCCACAGAGACAAAGGACUUUACAUAAACCAUGGGAGACCAGUGAGAGUGACAAUGACAGUGUGCUCACUGAAUCAUGUGUAUGACAUAGGGUUUCAUAAGCAUAGGAUCUGUCUAGUAUAGGGCAGUAUGUAUCAGGCAUAAGUUUUUUUAUAAUGGGUUUUCAAUGAAGUGGAAACAAGAUGGCAUCCUCUCUAUGGCAAGACAUUGGUCUUCACCAGUACGAGUGACAAUGACAGUUUGCAGAUUAAAUCAUGUUUUCGACGUAGGGCUUCAUGAGCAUAGGAUCUGCCUAGCAUAGGGCCGUACCGUAAAUAUCAGGCAUAAGGUUUUUGAUAAUGUGGUUUUCAAUAGAGUAGAAAUCAGAUGACAUCCUCUUUAUGUCAGGAUAAAGGUCUUUACAUACACCAUGCGAGACAAGUGAGAGUGUCAAUGGCAGUGUGCUCACUGUAUCAUGUCUAUGACAUAGGGUCUCAUGAGCAUAGGAUCUGCCUAGCAUAUGGCAGGCAGGUUACAGCAUAUGGCAGCAUAAGGUUUUUGAUAAUGGGGUUUUCAGUGAAGUAGAAACAAGAUGGCAUCCUCUCUACGGCAAGACAUUGGUAUUCACUAGUAAGAGCGACAAUGACAGCUUGCUGAUUGAAUCAUGUUUACAACAUAUGACUUCAUGAGCAUUGGAUCUGCCUAGUAUAGUACAGGCAUAAGGUUUUUGAUAAUGGGGUUUUCAGUGAAGUAAAAACAAGAUGGCAUUCUCUUUAUGCCAAGGCAAAGGUCUUUACAUAGACUUUGGAUGACUAGUGACAAUGCUCACUGAAUCAUGUGAGUAGCAUAGGGGUCAUCCCAUGCUGUCUACCAUGGCUGGGGUAGUAUGUAUCAGGCAUGAGGAUUAAUGUUUAUCAUGCACUCUUUGGAUGAUAAUGUGAUUUAAACAAGUUUUAUUUAUUGUUCAUUGGGAGAUUUUUGCCACUUCAUUAUGUGAUUUUCCUUCACAUUUUUUUAAUAGCAAUGUGUUGAUUGAAGACUUUUCAUUAAAGGGGCAGAUUUUUU
rnacentral:misc_RNA from 1 species